CCCUUAGACGUUCUGGGCCGCACGCGCGCUACACUGACCAGUGCAACAAGCAUCCGUCCUUGGCCGACAGGCCCGGGCAAUCGUUGAACGCUGGUCGUGAUGGGGAUAGACUUUUGCAAUUUUUGGUCUUCAACGAGGAAUUCCUAGUAAACGCAAGUCAUCAACUUGCAUUGAUUACGUCCCUGCCCUUUGUACACACCGCCCGUCGCACCUACCGAUUGAAUGGUCCGGUGAAGCCUCCGGAUUGGCGCGCACCUCGGUGCCGCCGAGAAGUUGGCUAAACCUUACCAUUUAGAGGAAGGUGAAGUCGUAACA
rnacentral:rRNA from 1 species